rnacentral:lncRNA from 1 species
UCAAAUGGAAGUAUUACAUUUCAGAAGAUUAAUAGAAGGAUUUUUGAAAUCUCUACAUUUAAACUGGAGAUGUAGUUUUCCACUGAGUUCUGGUCAUCCUGAAAAAAAUCUACUAUAGGAGAUUAUGCAAUAAUAGAUGUCAUUGGAGGGAUAAUAUUUGUACGGAAUAAGAGUAUAACUCUGAGUACAAACUCUCACCAGUACUUGCAGAGACUUUGAAUUUGACCGAAUAGAAGUAAGCAACAAUAUAGUAUAGUGAUCUUAAUGGGAGGAGAAUAUUUCUUCUACCUAUUUUCAUAUUUCCAGUAGCAUUGAGAACAUAAAGAUGUGUUUCAAGCUUGAGGGAGCUUUAUUUAGCAGAGAAGCUUUCAUUUCCGGCAUUAGUUUGUUUCCUCAAGGAGCACCAUUUGGCGUAUUUUAUAUUCUCGCUUAAACAACCGAAAUUCAUGUUCUUCCCCACAACGCAAAAUACAGUAAAUGUACCUGGGGAAUAAGAAUAACGGGACUUGAAAUAUACCCUCAUUAUUUGAAUUUAUCACUCCCCUUAAGAUAAAGAUGGGUGUUUCAUAUAUGACUCGUGAAUCUUUAAAGAAGCAAAUUGUCUCGAAUUAGAUCGAAAUUCUAAAACCAAAGAAACAUGAAUCACAACGGAUAUGGUACGAGAGAGGGGACCGACCAAUUCAGUAGAGGAAACGUAGAUAGAAGCACAACCAAUCCAAAUAUCAAGUUGAUGUGUCUUCGUCACAACAAUCCAAUCAAAACUAUUGUAGAGAGCCAAUUCAGCGGAGGAAACCUAAAGAGAAGCAGAGCCAAUCCAAAUAUCAAGUUGAUGUCAAUCUUCAUUACCCUAAUUAAAUCAAAGCUGAUGUACUGAGCCAAUUCAGAGAAUUAGACCUAGACAAAACCAGAGCCAAUCCAAAUAUGCCACAGUUGGUCGUACGAAUACGGCAACGACGAUGCGGUUGUGCGGAAGUGUGUGGUGAUGAUGAGACCAUAAUUGAGGAUUGUAAUUGGUGAUCCCAUCACCUGUUCAAUGAUUGUGAGGGGACUUCAAUUGCUUGAGAAGAAGAAGAAUUCGGGUAUGUUUGUUUUUGCGCAAAGCUCAGAAGCAUAAGGGAUGGAAAGUUGCCCGGGAGGAUGGUAAUUGAUCCCUUCGCCUUGAUGAUGCCAUAUCAUGUUCAAUGAUUGUUUGGGAAUUUCAAUUGCAGGGGAAGAAGAAGGUUUCAUGACACUUUUUUUGCACAGAACUCAGAAGCAUAGGGGAUGCGAAGUUGUUCGGAAGAAAGAGGGAGGGGUAAGAAAUAAAGAAUCAAAGAUAUGCUUGAUUUGAGGAUUUCAAUAGCUGACAUGGUAGAUACAUGAGCAUGAAAAUAAAUAUAUAUAAUUGUUAGAUUAGUCAAGAACUCUUGUACUAAGAACACCUAUUCUCAUGUGAAGGUAAAUUCUAGUUUAAGAUAAAAAAA